ensembl:lncRNA
AUGGACAAUGAUGAGGACGAUGAUGGGAACUUCACCAAGUGGAUGAGCAGCUACUGGGGGCACGGGGUAGGGGAGGAGCACGCCAAAGAUAGGAAGAGAAGUUUUAGGAGGCCCUCACGCAACAAAGCUGACCGCCGUGCCUCUUUGCCCUGCAUGUCUCAGCUAGAAGCAAUGCAGGCGAAUCAUCUCCAUGCUAACACCAUGGCCCAUGGCCCUGUCCACCUAAAGGGCCGUGAGGAGAAGGAGGUGCACUCUCAUCCUCGUGCCCGCCGUGUGUCUUCAGACGAAAACAGCCGAACCAAAGUGGUGGGACCUGAAUGUCACAUCAGCACCAUUCCAGAGCUCACGGAGUGCUUAGAGAAGAGGCUGCGUUUCAAUAACCAGAAGGGUGAUGCAGAUAGCAUAUGUCUUAUUUGCCAUGAAGAACUACGGAAUGGAAGGGGUGGCAUCCGAGAACUUCACUGUGGCCAUCAUUUUCAUAAAGAGGUAAACACUUCCUGCAUCAUUUCUCUCCUCUUGUUGUCUUUAACAGUAUCAAAUUGUUAAUUGAAGCAGUGGGUUAAUGGAAAUAGAAGUAUACACAUGACACCAAGUGAACAAGGGUAUUUUCCAAAUCUGUGCUUUCCCCCCACGUGGCAUGCAUGUUUGUCUGGUUACUUGCUGCUUUAAUGCCAGCUAUUUCACUGAAUCUGCUGUUUCUGAUUAUGGAUUGGGAAGGCAAAAUGGCCGGAGCACAGCGCACGUCCACGUAGUGGGAGUUCUGCACCUGCUUGUGAGCGAGGAAAAGAGAUACCGUUCUGCCCUGGACAGGAGGAAUAUAACUUACCCCGUCGCCAGCUCUCUUUACGUAGACAACGUUGAUUGUUUUUUUGUUUAAAAUACACUCUGCAAAAUAAAAGUUCUUUAUAUUUAUUAUUUAGAUAUAAA